UUAGUGCAGAGGUCAUGUGUUAGUCUUCCAGGGCCCGACUGUCAUUCAUUUAUAGCAGUUUUGUGUCAGUGGAGUUAUUUUUCACUCUCAGUAGUCAUAAUUAGUUUCACACUCUGCAUAGUGUGAGAACGAGCCUUCUGUAAGAGCGCAGAAAUAAGAACUGUGUGAAAAGGUGGAAUAAAUAUUGUAGUAAUGGCAAUGUGCGUACAGUCAUCGGGUACUUGGUAAGCUGGAUACGUGCAUUAAUUUUUCCUGAAUAAUCCCUUAAUGUAUUAACUGGGUGUAAAAAAAGCCUUGGCUGCACCGAAUAAUGCCUACUUGAAUUUCUAAGCAGUGCCGAUAAACUAAACUGAGAUCAUUCACUUUGUGUAUUUAAAAAGUGAUGGAUUCAGUAUCCACCCUUCCUCCUCUUCCUGCAAUCAAUAAAUAUUCCCUUCUUAAUCAAGGCCGUCAGCCUGCUCGGUGAUCUCGGGCACUAAUUGAAUUCCUGAAAACAGGGGAUGACCCAGGGGGGCUUUUUGCAGGUGCAGGCGGGGUGCCCUUGGUGAGAAGGGAUGGAAAAACGCAGGGUUGGGAGUUUGGUGCUGUGGCAGCAUACAGCCACAACUAAUGGUGCCCCAGUUGGUAGGAUCACCUCGUGGCUAAUAGGAUGCGUGGAGAAGUCAGUCCGUUUUGACCUUAGACGCCUGAGGAGCAUCCCCCAAAGGGUAGCCCCAAAGGGUAUCCAAGCUGCAAGCGCCCAACGUUGGCUCGCUGCUCUUGAUGGAGGAGCCUGCCCGGUACAGUGGAGACCCUUGGGCCCCCUUCUCUUCCCCUCCCAUGGCAUCCGAUGCCAUGCCAUGCCAUACCAUCCCCUCCCAUGCCAUGCCAUGCCAUGCCAUGCCAAGCCAUCCCGUCCCGUCCCAUCCCGUUCCCUGUCGGCGCCGCUCGGCAGAGGGCGUCAGGCGGCUCCCGUUCGUCCUGCUGCCGGAGCCGGGAGCCGUGCCGGUGCGCUGGGCGGGCCGGGGGGCGGCUGCCGAGCCUCCUCCAUCUUCGCUCCGCCCGCCCGAGGCAGCCCCUCCGCGCCGCGGGGCCGAGCGGCUCAGGGCGCCGCCCCGACCGCCCCGGGGGCUCGCCCGCGGCGCCGGCACCGCACAGCCGCCCCGCCGACAGGAGAAAGUUGGUGA
rnacentral:lncRNA from 1 species